GGGCGGGUAGCGCAGUGGUCAGCGUGUUCAUGAGCGUAAUCGGCGUUGAUUUCUUCCCUCCAGCGUUCAGCGAAAGAUCCGGGUUCGAGUCCCUGCCCGCCCC